UGGAUUGUUUUUUUUUUGAUU
rnacentral:piRNA from 1 species